AUUGAACGCUGGCGGAAUGCUUUACACAUGCAAGUCGAACGGCAGCACGGGUGCUUGCACCUGGUGGCGAGUGGCGAACGGGUGAGUAAUACAUCGGAACGUACCCAGUUAUGGGGGAUAACUAACCGAAAGGUUAGCUAAUACCGCAUACGCCCUGAGGGGGAAAGCGGGGGACCGUAAGGCCUCGCGUAAUUGGAGCGGCCGAUGUCUGAUUAGCUAGUUGGUGAGGUAAAGGCUCACCAAGGCGACGAUCAGUAGCAGGUCUAAGGGGAUGGUCUGCCACACUGGAACUGAGACACUGUCCAGACUCCUACGGGAGGCAGCAGUGGGGAAUUUUGGACAAUGGGGGAAACCCUGAUCCAGCCAUUCCGCGUGAGUGAAGAAGGCCUUCGGGUUGUAAAGCUCUUUCGGCGGGGAAGAAAUGGCAACGGCUAAUAUCCGUUGUUGAUGACGGUACCCGCAUAAGAAGCACCGGCUAACUACGUGCCAGCCGCCGCGGUAA
rnacentral:rRNA from 1 species